rnacentral:rRNA from 1 species
AGAGUUUGAUCCUGGCUCAGGACGAACGCUGGCGGCGUGCUUAACACAUGCAAGUCGAACGAGGCCCCGCUUCGGGUGGGUGUUCUAGUGGCGAACGGGUGAGUACACGUGGGCAACCUGCCCCGGCUCUGGGAUAACUCCAAGAAAUUGGGGCUAAUCCGGAUAUGACCGCUGAUCGCAUGGUCUGGUGGUGGAAAGUUUUUCGGCUGGGGAUGGGCCCGCGGCCUAUCAGCUUGUUGGUGGGGUAGUGGCCUACCAAGGCGCGACGGGUAGCCGGCCUGAGAGGGUGACCGGCCACACUGGGACUGAGACACGGCCCAGACUCCUACGGGAGGCAGCAGUGGGGAAUAUUGCGCAAUGGGCGGAAGCCUGACGCAGCGACGCCGCGUGGGGGAUGACGNNCUUCGGGUUGUAAACCUCUUUCAGCAGGGACGAAGCGGAAGUGACGGUACCUGCAGAAGAAGCACCGGCCAACUACGUGCCAGCAGCCGCGGUAAUACGUAGGGUGCAAGCGUUGUCCGGAAUUAUUGGGCGUAAAGAGCUCGUAGGCGGUUCGUCGCGUCGGCUGUGAAAACCCGGAGCUCAACUCCGGGCCUGCAGUCGAUACGGGCGGACUUGAGUGUUGCAGGGGAGACUGGAAUUCCUGGUGUAGCGGUGAAAUGCGCAGAUAUCAGGAGGAACACCGGUGGCGAAGGCGGGUCUCUGGGCAACUACUGACGCUGAGGAGCGAAAGCGUGGGGAGCGAACAGGAUUAGAUACCCUAGUAGUCC